AAAUCUAUCUGCUUCUUUAUGAAUUCAGGAACCACUAAUUCAUUCCUUCAUUUGCAGUUUCACAUUUCCAGCCCAUCUCUAAAGCAUACAGAAGAUCCAUGCUGGAUCAGACCACAGACUUUCAAGAGAGAUGUAGACCAAGCUCAUUCACAGGCUCCAUGUCAUAUUGAGUGAGAAUAUUGGAAGAGGCAACCAAACCAGAGUGGAGAACCAAGACUACUACUACCAACCCUGUCACCUGCAUGCCAAAUUACUGACAUCUAUUUCCAACCUUAAAUAUCUUAAAUUCAGAACUGCACUUCACACAAAGCUUCUUUGUUGUUUUUAGCGCUUCUAAAAGUUCUCAAAAACAUGUUAAGUAGACAGGAGGGGAUGUGGCUAGAACCUAAAUCUGUCACUUGAGCAAAUUAUUUUAUUCUACCCAAUGAUUAGCCAUGUACUGUCAACUUAGAUGGUCCUUUCCUCUUUUAUUUCUAAGAAUCAAAACAUAGCAAUUCUGUACACAGCUUUCAAAAUAAAAGCUAUUUUGCAUGGACAUUUUGUUCCUAAUAAAGUUUUGUUCCCUGU
rnacentral:lncRNA from 11 species